UCCCCAAAUCAAUUUUAAUUAAAUCCCUAUUCCUUGUCUUGAUCACCAAGACUUCCCUUGGUUACAAAUUAUUUUUUUUUUAAAUAAAUAUUUUGCAGAGAUCUUCCUCCUCUUCCCUUAAGCGUUUUUCCUCUUCUUCCAUUUAAUCUGCAAAUGAAAUCCCAAAGAAAUAAUAUUAGUCAAUCCCAAUUAAUUUAUGGAAUCAAUUACCCAUUAUGCACCCCCUCUCUCACGAUUCUUCACUGCAAUCUGCAGGGGAAAUCUUUCCAAAUAUUCAACCACAAUCAAUUGAAAUCAAUCUCCAAAAAUUACUCCUGCAAGUCACGGUUAUUAUAUCACCCCUCUACCCUAACCACUCUCAUGCGCCACAUACAACACACUCCACAAUUGAGAAUUUUGAACUACUCGCCUUUGUGAAACAAUUCGGCAGAGGAGGGAAUAGCGAAGGAGACGCCAAUUUCAUUCCUGUUCUUCCCAACUCAAUCCUCAAUCGCGGUAAAUUUUUGUCCCAACUACGUUCCACUUUGCGAUUCUCAAAUUGUUGCUAAUUGAAACCUUCAAAACUGCUUCUCUGUGAUAGAAUAAUCGAAAACCAAACUUGAGGGAGGAGGACAUCGUUUGUUCAUUUACCAUCCGCAAAUUGAAGCCUCCAUUCCCGAAAAUCAGAGAGAAACGGGGAAGAGAGGGUGCAGUAGUGCUGCAAUUCAGAUGGAAAAUCAAAGAGCAAAAAGGAAGAGAAGAUGGAGUGGUGCUGCAAAUCUAACCGAUUAUCAUAGAGAGAAAGGAAGAGAAGAUUGUGGUGUUGUAGAUCUAAACGAAAUCAAAGAGAAGAAGGGAAGUGAAAGAUGGAAGAGAAGCAAUGAUUGAGUAUGAUAUUAGAAGGCAUUUUCGUUUCUUGAUUGGAAGGCAUUUUCGUUUCUUGAUUGGAAGGCAUUUUCAUUUCAAUGAAGAGGGCUAAAAUUGGAAGACAUUUUGUUUCCUGAUUUACAAAUGGAGGCUGGAAAGUAAACCUCCAUCGCAGCACCGAUAAGUUUCCUCAGAAACACUGGCAUACACUCGUGGGCCUUUACGGGCCGAGUUAUUCGCGAGCUUCUUUUCCAUAAUUCAGUAAGUAUCAAACAAUGGUAAAGAUGAGAAAAUGGGUCAUUUUCUUGGCU